UCCUGGAUCUGUUAUUUUGGACAUGGUUAGGUGGAAGUGACGCAGGGUGAGGAGGGUGGAGCUGCGGCAUGUGUGUUUGGCUGGUUACAGAUGAAUGGAAACGGAUACAUGGAGCGCUCGUAUAGAGAUAAGAUGCAUGACAGCAAGCGGGUCUGCUUAAAAGAAGUCAUCAUUAUCCUAGAGAGUUCAGAAACGACAGUGCGCGUCUUUCAGCAAGAAAAUAGCACGACUGUAUUAUGGUUUUGACAUUUAUAGUGGUUUUAUAAUUGAUCAUUUACUUCUCUUACCAUCUCAGAAGCUCAUCACUGUUUGGAAUAGUUUUGUUCAUGACUGUCUCUAAUAUAAUCGAAGUGGAGGAGCCACAUUUGGGGGACUGUAAUAUGAAAAAAGAAGCAACCGAAUUUUUAGGGUUUGUUCCGCAAAAAGAUAUUGUUUACAACGAACUUUUACCUUACAAGGACAAACUAGACGAAGAGUCCAAUGAAUUUUUGGCACAGAUCAAAGGAAACCUCGGCAGAGCCGUCCAACUUCGAGAGAUAUGGCCAGGUGUCUUGUUUUGGACGAGGAAACUUUCCACAUAUAUGCGACUGUAUGGAAGGAAGUUCAGCAAAGAGGACCAUGUGCACUUUGUCAAGCUGCUGUAUGAGCUGGUCACCAUCCCCAAACUGGAGAUCAGUAUGAUGCAGUGCUUCGCCCGUCUCCUCAUCACCCUGCUGAAGAAGAAGGAGCUGCUUUCAAGAGAGGACUUAGAAUUGCCAUGGCGACCACUUUAUGAGUUGCAGGACAGGAUCCUGUACUCAAAGACAGAGCACCUCGGCCUGAACUGGUUUCCCAGUUCUCUGCGGCCACACUCUUCCUCUAAGCACAUAAUUGUUAAACUUGCUCAGAGGUGCUCAGUGGAAGCAGUUCUGAAGGCUUUAAUUAAGAACUGCAGACCAUAUUUCCCAGAAUCAGCCACACAGGAGAUGCUGGAAGAGUGGAGGCCUCUGAUGUGCCCAUUUGACGUGACCAUGCAGAAGGCGAUGGGAUAUUUUGAGCUCUUCCUGCCCACCACUCUCCCUCCAGAGCUUCAUGAUAAGGGCUUUAAACUUUGGUUUGAUGAGUUGAUAAGCCUGUGGGUGUCGGUACAGAACCUUCCAAGCUGGGAAGUGAAUCUUGUCAGCCUUUUUGCACGACUGGCAAAUGACAACAUUGGUUACAUAGAUUGGGACCCUUAUAUACCGAAGAUCUUCACUAGGAUCUUAAGGAGUCUUAAUCUUCCUGUAGGAUCCAGUCAGAUGCUGGUUUCCAGAUAUCUGACAAAUGCCUAUGACAUCAGUCAUGUGGUCAUCUGGAUUUCUGCUUUGCUGGGAGGGCCCAGCAAGCAGACCCAGACCCAGCUCAGUGGCCUUUUCAACAGUAUUGCCUCGUUUUUCCACCCUUCUAACCACGGCCGCUGGCUGAUGAAACUCAUGAAGCUCGUUCAGCGAUUACCUGCCAGUGUUGUGAAACGUCUGCAUCGAGAACGUUACCGGACGCCAACGUGGCUGACUCCUGUUCCUGAGAGCCACCUUCUCAGUGAGCAGGACAUCACAGACUUUGUGGAAAGUAUGAAGCAGCCUGUCCUGCUGGCGAUGUUUAGCAAAACUGGCAGCCUGGAUGCUGCCCAGGCCCUGCAAAACCUUGCCCUGCUCAGACCUGAUCUAGUCAUUCCUCCAGUGCUGGAGAAGACAUAUCCUGCCAUGGAGACCCUCACUGAGCCUCACCAGCUGACCGCCACUCUAAGCUGUAUGAUCGGUGUGGCGCGGAGCCUGGUGGCCGGCGGCCAGAGGUUUCCAGAGGGCCCCACACACAUGCUGCCUCUCCUCAUGAGGGCUCUGCCUGGGGUUGACCCCAAUGACUUCAGCAAGUGCAUGAUAACAUUCCAAUUUUUAGCGACUUUUGUUACUCUUGUGCCAUUGGUGGACUGUUCAGCUGCUGUUCAGACAAGAAAUGACCUCACACAGGUGGAAAAAGUGUUGUGUUCAGCCUCAGCAGAGUUUGAGGACUUUGUUCUUCAGUUUAUUGAUAGGUGUUUUGCACUGAUUGACACGAGUACACUGGAACAAACCCGGGAGGAGAUGGAGACAGAGAAAAUGACUCAUCUGGAGAGUCUGGUGGAGCUGGGUCUGUCCUCCACAUUCAGCACUAUCCUCACACAAUGCUCUAUGGAAAUAUUCCAGGUGGCUCUGGAAAAAGUCUUUAACUUUGCCACGACAAACAUUUUUGAGACUCACGUGGCUGGACGGAUGGUGGCGAACAUGUGCCGAGCUGCAACCAAGUGUCACCCAGCAGAGGCUCUGAAACUCUUUUUGCCCCACUGCUGUAAUGCCAUAUUUCAAAUCUCAGCCUAUGAAGAGGAAUUAAAUGAAGAGGAGCUGGAUAAAGAGCUGAUGUGGAACCUCCAGCUGUUGUCGGAGGUGACCCGUGUGGAUGGUGAUCAACUGUUACUCUACAGGUCUCAGCUGGUGCAGAUUCUUCAGUUAACUCUGCACCUGAAAUGUAAGCAGGGCUACAAUCUGGCCUGUAAGCUGCUCUAUCACAUCCUGCGCUCCAUGUCCCUCAUCUAUCCCAGAGAGUACUGCAGCAUGUCCGGAGGGGUCCAGCAGCACACUGACACAUACCUUCCAAUUAAGGACUGGGGUCGGCCUGGAGACCUGUUGAACCUGGGCAUCCAGUGGCACGUGCCCAGCACAGAAGAGAAGGAGUUUGUUUUUUACUUGCUGGAUCUGUUGUUAAAACCUGAACUCCGGCAUCUGCAGAAACACACACAGGGAGAACAGGACAUCAGCAGGGAUGAUGUUCUACAGAGUCUGUCCAUUGUUCAUAACUGCUUUCUGGGAGCAAGCAGCCUUCUGCCUCCACUGAAUGGAGAACCUGUGCCGGAGAAGAUAAACAGUAUGAUUCAGCUAUGCGAGACAAACGUUUACACUGGAGUAGACUAUGACCUGUCUAGAGAGAACUACAGAGAGGACAUCUGUAAGGUGAUUAGACCUCUAUUACACCACACUCUAGAGCACUCAGAGGAUGACAUCAAAUCCCUCUUCUCAAUUAUAAAGAUUAUCAACGACCUGCUCCACUUUAAAGGUUCACACAAACAUGAGUUUGACUCACAUUGGAAAAGUUUCAGUCUCAUUAAGAAGUCCAUGGAGAACAAGCUUCAUGGCAGUAAACAGCACAUUAGAGCUCUACUCAUAGACAGAGUCAUGUUGCAACAUGAGUUAAGAAAUCUGACCAAGGAUGGAUGUUGCUACAGGAGUGUUCAUCAGGACUUGAUAAAUGACCUGCUUAGACUGUCCACCAGCAGGUACAGUCAGGUGAGGAGUAAAGCUCAGAACGUGCUGUUCACAGCACUGGGAACCUACAGCUUAUGCUGCAGAGACGUCAUCCCUGCGGUGCUGGAGUAUCUGGACCCAGACCGCACUGACGUCACCCAGCAGCAAUUCAAAGGUGCCUUGUACUGUCUGUUUGGGAACCACUCUGGGAUCUGUCUUGCUAACCUGCAGUACUGGGACUGCAUUGCUCUCACAUGGCCUGCCAUUUUGCGUUCUGGUAUGAGCCCCUCAAUGUCUCUAGAGGAGUCUUCAGUCGUCCGGCUCUUUGAUGAUUUGGCUGACAAAAUCCACCGCCAGUACGAGACCAUCGGAAUUGACUUUUCUAUCCCGGAGAGCUGUGUGGAGGUUGCUCUAAAAAUGAUGAAAUCCAGUAACCCAGAACCGACUCCAUGUGCCGCCUCUGAACAGGAGGAACUGGAGGGAAGAAAGAGACAGGAACAGAAAAACAAAGACUCAGUGCAGAAGUAUGAGAAGCUAGUGGUGGAUCUUUUGGACAGCCUUUACGACCGAAACUUGCCCUGGAAGUUUGAGCAGAUAGCUAUCGGCUUCCUCUCUCUGAUGCUGAGAGAUGACCACCCCUUGCCUUCCUCUGCAGUCCUCUUUUUCGUUGAGAGCCUGAACCAUGACUCGCUCUUAGUUCGCAAUGGUGCGAUAUCAGCAGUGAGUGGCAUUCUAAAGCAGCUCAAGAGACCUCACAAGAAAGUGGCAGUGAAUCCCUACGACAUAUCUGAGCUCAAAACCUCGCUGCAGUCAUGUGGUGGUAAAGCUCUAAGCUCUCUGCUGGCGGGAGACAGGCCUGAUAACCAGUGGCUGCGGUAUGACAGCAGCAGGUUGCCACGCUCCCAGCAGGACUGGAAUGAAUGCUGCUUCAUUGAGAAAACCCACUGGGGCUAUUCCACAUGGCCACGGAAGCUGCUGCUCUAUGCCCCUCUUGAGGAACAGCCCAAACAGGGCAAAACAAGAGAAGAGAUGAAUGAGAGUGAACAGAUCAUAUACGAUCAUUUCUCAGACCAGCAGUUCAUAGAUCAGUUCAUCCAGUAUUUGUCUCUGGAGGACAGAAAGGGGAAAGAUAAAUUCAGCCCACGACGAUUUUGCCUCUUUAAGGGUAUUUUUCGGAACUUUGAUGAUGCCUUCCUGCCUCUGCUGAAGCCUCAUAUGGAGCGUCUGGUUGCAGAUUCCCAUGAGAGCACCCAGCGCUGUGUGGCAGAGAUCAUCUCUGGACUCAUCAGGGGUUCCAAACACUGGAGCUACAGCAAGGUGGAAAAACUGUGGGCUCUGCUGUGUCCACUCCUCCGUAAAGCUCUUUCCAAUAUCACCAUUGAGACGUAUGCAGACUGGGGCACCUGUAUCGCCACUGCCUGCGAGAGCCGAGACCCACGAAAGCUGCACUGGCUGUUUGAGAUGCUGAUGGAAUCUCCGGUCACAGGAGAAGGAGGCUCAUUUGUGGAUGCCUGCCGUCUGUAUGUGCUGCAGGGAGGUCUUGCUCAGCAGGAAUGGAGAGUUCCAGAGUUGCUUCACAGGUUACUACAGUACCUAGAACCCAAACUCACUCAGGUCUACAAGAAUGUACGCGAACGCAUUGGCAGUGUGCUCACCUACAUCUUCAUGAUCGACGUGAACCUGCCACACACUCAGCCCACCACAUCGCCGCGCAUCGCAGAGUUCACGGAGCGUGUGCUGGCCAGGCUCAAGCCUUUAACAGAGGGCGAGGAGGAGAUCCAGAACCACGUGGUAGAGGAGAACACAGAGGGAGAUCAAGACGAGAGGACACAAGCCAUCAAAUUACUCAAAACUGUAUUGAAGUGGUUGAUGACCAGUGCUGGACGCUCCUUCUCUUCUGUGGUCCCAGAACAGCUUCGUCUCCUCCCUCUACUCUUUAAAAUUGCUCCUGUGGAGAAUGACGACAGCUAUGAUGAGAUGAAGAGAGAUGCUAAGACAUGUUUGUCUCUCAUGUCCCAGGGACUGCUGUACUCCGAACAGAUCCCACAAGUCCUCAGUGCACUUGAGGAGAUUUCAAGGAGCAGCUCAUGGCACGCACGUUACACCGUUCUCACCUUCCUGCAGAUAAUGGUUUUCUACAAUCUUUUCACCUUCCUCAGCGAUACCAAGGCCGUCAGUGACGUGAGAGCACUAGUACUGAGCCUGCUGGAGGAUGAACAACUUGAGGUGAGGGAGAUGGCAGCCACCACUUUAAGUGGAUUCCUGCAGUGUAAUUUUCUCUGCAUUGACGAACCCAUGCAGGCCCAUUUUGAGGCCCUGAGCAAAACCCGUCUGCCCAAGCGCAAGAGGAGAGAGCUGGGCUCAGUGGUGGACACGAUCCCUUCUGCUGACCUGGUGCGGCGGCAUGCAGGUGUAUUGGGUCUGAGUGCCUGCAUCCUGUCCAGCCCGUAUGAUGUGCCCACGUGGAUGCCCCAGAUCCUCAUGGACCUGAGUGCCCACCUCAACGACACACAGCCUAUAGAGAUGAGUGUGAAGAAAACCCUGUCGGAUUUCCGUCGCACUCAUCAUGAUAACUGGCAGGAACACAAGCAGAAGUUCACAGAUGACCAGCUGCUGGUGCUCACAGAUCUGCUGGUCUCCCCCUGUUACUACGCUUAGAAUGAUGUCACUGUCUGGUGAAGGGAAAAGGCAAAGCUAACUGAAACCUGAAUUUUUGUUUGCUCUGAAUGUCUGGGAUUGUUUGUAGAGGACAGAAAAUUAAAACGCCGUUUAUGUAGCAAUAGAUGCAAUCAUCUAGUUAUGAGAUAACUAGAAUAUUUUACUAAACUCUAUUUUUAUUAUUAUUUUUAAAUACACUUAAUAUUUAAGGGGAACUUUAUUGCAGGUAUCGCUGACCUGCAUCUAUAAUGUUCUUGUAUAGUUUUCAGUUUCCGCUUGUUUGAGUGCAGUAUGGAUUGUUAUAGCCCAAUAUAAAGCAGUUUUCUGCACUGCAUUUAUUGUAAUACUAGCAUUUUACAAUUUUAGCAGUAAUCUGUUUGAAAUGUGUACACAUGUAAUGUUGGUAAAUGUUACAUGUGUAUGAGGUAAAAGUACCCAUUUCUUUUCUUUCUUUUUUUUAUAGUAGCACUGUACAUUUCCUCCUGCCUCAUAGAGACAGUGUGCAUUUUGUUGUUAUGUGUACAGUUAUGUAAGCCUACAUAAAUGAAAGAGUGUAAGAAUAUAUCAUUUGGUGAUGCUAUUCUUCAGUUGUCUUGCCAAUACAGCUGAACUAAACUAAAAAAUUCAGUAUAAUCACAAUGGAUGGUGUUACAAAAUAGUAGUCCAUGAGAUUUCCUGCACUUCAUGCAUCUUUUUCUCUAUUAGUAUUUUUGCAGUCAAUAAAUGUUUAUUAUUUAUUAAUUUAUUCAAUUGAAAAUUGUAGUUGACCUUUGCAUUUAGUUUAGUGUUUGCAGUUUUUGCUUUAAGCCAGGUGUUCUCAUAUCCUGGUGUCAGAAGAUUUUUAAAGGAACCGUCAGCAAAUGCGGAGACAGUGUCAUUGAGACUUGCAGUUAGCAAGCAUUGCUGAACCUAUCAGUAGCAACAGUUGUAGACCAUAUAUUAAUGCAGUGGUUUGUUGGCAAGCUUAACAUUUUAAAUAUAAUUCACACUGUGUCAAAAUCAUGUCAUAAGCCAAUGUGUAGUUCAACUUUGGUUGGUAAACUAAAAGACAGUAAUGCUGUAAUGCUAUGCAAAUGCUUGACUGAUUGAUUACUUUUUUCUUGAUAUUCCUUUUACAAAUAUUUGACAAAAGUCAAGGGAUGUUUGUAAUAAAGUGUGACGAAGUAUGCAGGUAAAAUCUUUUUUGUGCUUCUCCCAUGUUGCUACCGACAUAUAGCAAUUAGUUUGAUGUAAUAUAAACGUUAAAUAUACAUUC